GACGAACGCUGGCGGCGUGCUUAACACAUGCAAGUCGAACGGCAAGGCCCUGCUUUUGUGGGGUGCUCGAGUGGCGAACGGGUGAGUAACACGUGAGUAACCUGCCCUUGACUUUGGGAUAGCUUCAGGAAACUGGGGCUAAUACCGGAUAGGAGCUCCUGCUGCAUGGUGGGGGUUGGAACGUUUCGGCGGUUGGGGAUGGACUCGCGGCUUAUCAGCUUGUUGGUGGGGUAGUGGCUUACCAAGGCUUUGACGGGUAGCCGGCCUGAGAGGGUGACCGGCCACAUUGGGACUGAGAUACGGACCAGACUCCUACGGGAGGCAGCAGUGGGGAAUAUUGCACAAUGGGCGGAAGCCUGAUGCAGCAACGCCGCGUGCGGGAUGACGGCCUUCGGGGUGUAAACCGCUUUCGCCUGUGACGAAGCGUGAGUGACGGUAAUGGGUAAAGAAGCACCGGCUAACUACGUG
rnacentral:rRNA from 1 species